GAAUAUGCAUAAUCCUUGCUUCAGGGCCUGAGCUACAGGCAGUUAGAUGUGGGUAUGUCAUUUAGGCGAAUAUUGAAAAAAAGGGGGCUAUCCCUAAGUUAAAUUGUGAUUUUAAUGAAUGGAGCGAAUUUGGUGCGGGAGCUUUUUUUUCCUGUGAGUGUGGCGGUUUUUAGCUGAGCGGUAGGAAAGACCGGAGCGGAUUUCCAAGCUCAACUCAACUCACAUGCUCUGAUCCCAUGUGCACAGAGGAGACUGGCGGUACUGCAGUUUAACUGAUGCCAAGCCCAGAAAGACAGAAAUACAUUUUUUGCAUGAAUUGUCUUUGAGGGUUAUUCUUUUUUAAUAACUCACAGCCGAAGUAAUUAACGUUUUAUAUUCAUGCUGUUACAUGGACGAGAUUGGCUCACAUGCACACGCAGAAGGAAUGGAACAGUGGAAUCACUCAUGCACUCUCGUUUAGUACCUGCUCUUAGUGAUCUAUUAUCACACAGUCUCAGCCUACCAGUUUAUGAAUCUGGAGACACUGGAGGUGUUUGGGGUGGAGAGGACAGUGGACUCAGUGGAGGACAUCCCAGCCACUUGGCAGUAAGGGUUUGAUUAAUCUCGCCCGGACGCGCGUGUAGAUCCUUGCAUUUGAUUUCGAACCUGGCUGCAUCCCGGUCGUGAGCCAACAGCCCAGCUCUGACCGACGGCGAAGACAGCUCAAAAUUCUUUGAUUGCUUUUGAUAAAAACAAUUUAUCAGCCUUCCCAAUGAAACAUAGUUUGAAAAGUCUAACAUAUAUUUACAGAAAAUAUAUGUAUGUUUCCGAAUGAUGCGCCAUGCUGCUUUGUUGACAACAUGACUGAGCUGCGCAGAUUACUGUUCCAUUUGAGAAGGGCGCUCCUCCCUCACGGCGUUUUACCGUUCACGUCACUGACCAUAGCUGGGUGCACCGCAGCUCACGUUAUUAGAACUCUCUCAGUGUUGGCACUGCUACUUUCUACCUGAUGGGGUGUUACAGGAGGAGUUGAAGGGGGAGCAUGCCUCGUACCUGCGGCAGCACCCAGAUUUCCGCGCCAUGAUGGCCGACUUCUUGCAGUUCCUGUUACCUGUUACUCAUCAUGUUCGCCUGUGAAGACUUCUCCCCUGGGGGGCCUCCUCAACACCUCUUCACUUCAAGCUUCCUCUCAAAGGCCCGUUAGUGAGGACAAUACUAUUCUGAUUAGCAGUUGUCACUAGUAUGUACAGUGGCCCUCGAGAUCUAGAGUAUUGUUUUUACAUUUUGUAAUACUGUUUUUACUAUCUACUGUUUAUGUUUGCAUGAGCUGUAUUCAAACAUUCCAAUCAACUCAUGCUCAUCUGACUCAAAAAGUAAGGCUAUUGUAUAACUUUGCUGCCCAGAUUGCCUAGGAAUGUAACAUCCUUUGAAUAAUACAAUUAUAUGUGUAUUAAUAGUCCAGACAAUCUUGCAAGGCAGACUAAAGGCGUCCCCAUGCUUAAUAGCUGAAACAGUUCAGCAGAGUUUGUAAAUAUAUUGCAUUUUGCAUUUUUUGACUGCAUUUUGUGAUGUUUUUGUUAGUUUUGGACUUUAGUGAGUGUGAUUUUCGGCUGUUUGGAUACAACAACAAAAAAUCGUAGAAGCAAGGCAAAGUUCGGAGCCGAAGUCCAUGUCCCUUCGUCGGCGAUUGGUCAACAGUAGGGGUUCUUCAAUAAAAUCUUUGUUGUCAUUCAA